AGGUAUCUUGAUUGUUUCAAAUAGUACUGCUUAGCCGUUGAAGCAGUUGACAAGUUUGGAUCAGAUUUUAAGGAAACAGAUGCAUGUAAAUUCCUAUUUUCCCCCUUCAAGUGGUUGGAGACUGGGAGUCCUGAAUGUGGAAGCCUUGGAGGUCAACACAAAGCACCAAUCAAUGCGGGGAAAAGCAUUUGUCCCCCACCCCAUUUCCCCUGAGUCCCUUUGCUGUUGGGACUGCUAAAUGAUAACGCCCACCAUAUCUCUGCCAGCACAGAGAGUCACUGCAGACAUCAGACAGGCUGUGGCAGAACCUAGAGCAGUUUAUGGGUGUGUAAACCAAUUUGUUUUGGUCUGAUUUUGUGGGGGAGAGGGUUGGUUGUUUUGUCUCUCUUUUGAGACCAGAUAUCAGCUACAUAAUCCAGACUGGCCUUAAACUUUUGUAUCUUUCUUUCUCAGACUCUAAAGUAGCUGGGACUAUAGGUGUCAGCAAUAUGCUUGUAAGGUGUCACAAUAUGCUCUGUAGGUUUGCUCCUUAGAGGAAGGAUGGGUAGGGAGCUCCGACAGAGCCUCAAGCAUCCCACGCCAGGGUUCUCACUUUCGGACAACACAAGACCUAGCAUGGUGGAACAAUAUGGCUCCUGCCUAAUAGAAUUGAAUGAGGUUCUUCCUAAGGUCAAGUGCUAUAGGGAAGAGAGUGUUUGCCACUAGAUUGGGAGCUAAGAACUGAGAGCGACCCACCCAUGUGCACCCUUGACAGUCUCCAUGUGUCUUCAAAGGGAAUGGCUUUACUCCUGUGUGCUGUUGCUAAAUUUCUUUUUAAUGUAUCAUUGGGUAUACAAUCUACAAAAAGAAGAUGUCUGCAUGGAGCAAUGCCAGUGUUUCCCUAGACUUGUGCCAUGGCUGUGCUUCUUACGCCUCUUCUGUUCCAGGGAGAAAAGUAAACCAAAGUAUGUUCCCAAGACUCAACCUGUCCUGUUCAGAGCAGUCCGAGCAGUGUGCUGAGGAUGGCCUGACUCCCAACAACAAGGAGCUGCUGGACGCUGAACUUUCUAGGACAGGUUCCGAAAAAAAUGACUUUCAAAUGUUCUAAUAGGCAGCCAUCUAAUAAUGAACUCUUAAUGUCAUAGAGAAUACUGUUAACUUUGUAUAUGAUGCGCUGCAUUCUACAUGUGGGAUGUGAACCUCAGGCAGGAGUGGUGAUGACUGCAACUCCAGAGACUGAGCUGGGUGUGGCUGGCAUGUACUGUGGUCCUAGUCACAGAGGGAGGACUACUCCAGCCUACAAGUUUGAGACUCGCCUGGGCAACAUAGCUGGACAAUGCCUCAAUAACAACAACAACAUGACAAAACAUGAGAGCAAUAUAAAGCCAGAAUAUGUACUUUGCUCUACACACACCACUACUUUCUGGGAGGCAUCCAUGCUCGGCUUCUUGGAGUGGGAGGCCCCUAAGUCGUCCUCCAUGUUGUCACAGCUGUCUCCAGACUUGAAGACUGUCUGACCCCACCGUCUCCGGGCUCCCUUAUGGCCCAGUGUGCUGACUGGAUUCUGUGGUAAAAAACAAAGUCAGCCACCAAAGUCUUAAAUUACUUAAGAUUUCCUCAAGCAAUUAAAUCGGGCAGAAAGCUCUCAAGGGUCUUUCCCUUUACACUCAGGUGUUACGUGAUGACAGAACACAUUCUGAGAAGUGCAUCUACAGGUAACUGUCACUGGGUGGGCACCAUAGAACGCACUUACAAGAACCUAGAUGUUCUAGCCUAUUAGUGCGGUUUUUGUUCACCGGCAACAAAUGUGUUCCAUAUGCUACUGUACUGAAUACUGUUAACUGUAGAGGGCUGGUUACCAUCUGUGUAUCUAAACAUAUGUAAACAUAGAUGAGGUACUGUGAAGAGGCUGGGAUACAGGUUAGUGGUGGAGCACAGAGGUAGCAUGCACAAGGGCCUAGAUCCAACCCAGCUACCCGGUACUUCCUCCCUCCCCGGUCCCACCCCCAAAUAGAAAAGGCAGGAAGAACUUGAAGCAGCUAGCUACCUCCACAGUCAAGAAUAGAAAGCAAAUAAAUACAUGCACACCUACAGGCUGCUCAGCUCCCAUUCUCUUUUCUUAAAUAUUGUACAGGACCCAAGCCCAAAGACAAGUACCAUUCAGUUUUGGGCUGGCUCUUCCUGCACCAAUGAAAUUACUGAAGAUAAUUCUCUAUGGACAUACCUGAAAGCCUUCUGGCUCUAGGCAGUCCCUCAUGGAGACCUCCAUUCGAGGUGACUCUAGAGUAUGUCAUACUGACAGUUUAAACUAACCAGCACUGGGUACUUGCGGUCCGAGGUUCUGGGUUGGCCCCUCAUAGAGUCUAGAAAACUGAGACUUGGCUAUGAGUCUUCUUGCCCUUCUCAAGUGAAAAUGGAGGACACUGAGGUUGGCAUGACCCUGUGGCCUUCAUGCUUUCCUCUCUAAAAUGCAUGUGCCACCUUAUAGCCAAAGCAUAAAAGCCACUGUGGAGGGGAUGGCACUGGAAGACAGGGACACCCUGGUAUCUUCAACCGCUUCCUGAAGAGAUAGAGCCAGAAGACAGAGUGGUCUUGUUCCAUGAGAAGGUCCCAGUGCUCUGGGGUUGACCACCUAGGGCUUUCCAUUUGUGAGGAAAGCUUCUACUGUUCAAGCACAGUGGUCAGGCUUCUGCCAUUACUGAAUGUACUUCCAGUGGACACAAAAGGAGAAAAGGCAUCGAUGACUUUAAAGGUAGAGCCUCUACAAUGGCUGGCUGAGCUGAAAAUCCUGACAACCCCAGUUCCAUUCCAGGGACUGCAGGGUGGGAGGAGAGGAAGGGUUCCUGUGGGUUGCCCUGGAGUCACCACGAGUGCCCUUCCCCACGAAAAAAACCCACAUAUACUAUAAAAUUUAAGAUUUAAGUCUAAUUGUCGAAGAAUAGCAUCCCUAUUAACAGGAAUGAGGAAUGAGGAAUGAGGAAGAAGCCGAGGCUUAGGAUAGACUAUGAGCUGGUUUCCUAUAAGCUGAUGAAAAAGUGGUACGGGCAUGUGAAUUGAAAUACGCAAAAGCAGUUCACACUAAGGAAUGGAGCUUAGAAGGAUGGCCAUCUGCGCUCUGGACUUGAGAAUGCUGGAAGAAUGGCUUAGGAGUGCACAAAGCUGCUGACACCCAGAUGGAAAUGGCAGGAAAGGACACCUGCCAGCCUCUGCACCGUCAUAUACUUUGUCAAGAGGAACACUUUCACAAACAGAAUGAAUAAGAACCAAUGCUCUGGAUGCACGGAGUCAGCAGAAGAUGACAUUUGGCUAAGUGUAAGCCUUCCUUAGCUUGACUGCCCUUUAGUGUGAAACUGAAUGCUGAUCCCUACUGAGCCAGGUCAGUACCGACACAAUGAUCCUGCAUGUUUGGGAAGACUGGGAGGGGGCAGAUAACAAGUGAUGCAUCUGAAAUACAAAGCAAAUGUCUAUAGUCCAUGUUAAUACUUUGUUAUAGAAUGAGGGCAAAGAUCUGGGGAACUGGUGGGUCAUAUAAGCCACAAUUAUUCAUAUCUAUGACUCCAUGUGAUGUGGUAGGUAGUCAUGCGAGUGCCAGUCAAACUGGUGUCCCAGGUUCUCACGAUAACCCCCAACAAUGAAAUGAUCAGAGGCCAAUGGAAGUAGAUCAGAGAGUGGAUCAGAUUUAUGAGUGAUCAGCAAACCAAUGUCAAUCUAGAAGGUUCUAGCUGCUUCCCAAGAGCACCGUGCUUUUCUGUUUAUCAUGAAGAUAACAGGAAUAAAAACAGACAACUAAAUAAAUCCACAGAUGUCAGGAUUGCUAGGCCCAGGAGAGAAUAAGAAUAAGAAGUUUGCAAGGUAAUGAGAGACCUUUUAACUCUUUGAACCCUACAGAUGGAAUAGGCAAGUUAAAGUAUAGAAUAUAUGAUCUGCAGAGACGUUUAGUAACAAAACAGACUCAGAAAAUGUCAUGGUUAGAACACCCAUCCCAGUUCUGGAAUAUGCUAGCUGUAAAAAGAUGAGGGACUAGAUAACUUGGUGAGUACACCUAGGAGGAACACAGUGGGCAGUUCUUUAUAUGCUUAAUAACUACAAAUUUCUUUUUCUUUCCUCUCACUGUUCACCAGCAUCUGAUGACCUUCUCAAAUGGGAAGAGGAGAUGCAACCCUCAGUGGCAAGAGUGGCCCUUUAGUUUUGGAAGACUGUCUGCCACUAGUUCAGGUAGUGU